CCUUUUUGCACCGGCGGGUGCUUACCAUGCAAGUCGAACGAUGAACCACCUUCGGGUGGGGAUUAGUGGCGAACGGGUGAGUAACACGUGGGCAAUCUGCCCUGCACUCUGGGACAAGCCCUGGAAACGGGGUCUAAUACCGGAUACUGAGCCUCGCAGGCAUCUGCGGGGUUCGAAAGCUCCGGCGGUGCAGGAUGAGCCCGCGGCCUAUCAGCUUGUUGGUGAGGUAACGGCUCACCAAGGCGACGACGGGUAGCCGGCCUGAGAGGGCGACCGGCCACACUGGGACUGAGACACGGCCCAGACUCCUACGGGAGGCAGCAGUGGGGAAUAUUGCACAAUGGGCGAAAGCCUGAUGCAGCGACGCCGCGUGAGGGAUGACGGCCUUCGGGUUGUAAACCUCUUUCAGCAGGGAAGAAGCGAAAGUGACGGUACCUGCAGAAGAAGCGCCGGCUAACUACGUGCCAGCAGCCGCGGUAAUACGUAGGGCGCGAGCGUUGUCCGGAAUUAUUGGGCGUAAAGAGCUCGUAGGCGGCUUGUCGCGUCGGUUGUGAAAGCCCGGGGCUUAACCCCGGGUCUGCAGUCGAUACGGGCAGGCUAGAGUUCGGUAGGGGAGAUCGGAAUUCCUGGUGUAGCGGUGAAAUGCGCAGAUAUCAGGAGGAACACCGGUGGCGAAGGCGGAUCUCUGGGCCGAUACUGACGCUGAGGAGCGAAAGCGUGGGGAGCGAACAGGAUUAGAUACCCUGGUAGUCCACGCCGUAAACGGUGGGCACUAGGUGUGGGCGACAUUCCACGUCGUCCGUGCCGCAGCUAACGCAUUAAGUGCCCCGCCUGGGGAGUACGGCCGCAAGGCUAAAACUCAAAGGAAUUGACGGGGGCCCGCACAAGCGGCGGAGCAUGUGGCUUAAUUCGACGCAACGCGAAGAACCUUACCAAGGCUUGACAUACACCGGAAGCAUCAGAGAUGGUGCCCCCUUGUGGUCGGUGUACAGGUGGUGCAUGGCU
rnacentral:rRNA from 1 species